rnacentral:tRNA from 1 species
CAGAAAAUAGUUUAAAGAAAACAAGAGCUUUGGAAGUUUUAGAUUUAGGUACACCAAUUUUCUGA